GAUCAUGGCUCAGGACGAACGCUGGCGGCGUGCUUAACACAUGCAAGUCGAACGGAACGCCCUUGAAAGAGACUUCGGUCAAUGGAUUGGGUUGUUUAGUGGCGGACGGGUGAGUAACGCGUGAGGAACCUGCCUUUCAGAGGGGGACAACAGUUGGAAACGACUGCUAAUACCGCAUGACGCGUAGAGGUCGCAUGAUCUUUACGCCAAAGAUUUAUCGCUGAAAGAUGGCCUCGCGU
rnacentral:rRNA from 1 species